rnacentral:rRNA from 1 species
AUUGAACGCUGGCGGCAUGCUUUACACAUGCAAGUCGAGCGGCAGCGCGGGGGCAACCCUGGCGGCGAGCGGCGAACGGGUGAGUAAUGCAUCGGAACGUACCCUGGAGUGGGGGAUAACGCCGCGAAAGCGGCGCUAAUACCGCAUAUGCUCUGAGGAGGAAAGUGGGGGACCGCAAGGCCUCACGCUCUGGGAGCGGCCGAUGUCCGAUUAGCUACAUGGUGGGGUAAAGGCUUACCAAGGCGACGAUCGGUAGCUGGUCUGAGAGGAUGAUGAGCCACACUGGGACUGAGACACGGCCCAGACUCCUACGGGAGGCAGCAGUGGGGAAUUUUGGACAAUGGGGGCAACCCUGAUCCAGCCAUGCCGCGUGAGUGAAGAAGGCCUUCGGGUUGUAAAGCUCUUUUGGUCGGGAAGAAAGUGCCUUGCUUAAUACGCGGGGUAUUUGACGGUACCGGCAGAAUAAGCACCGGCUAACUACGUGCCAGCAGCCGCAGUAACAC